rnacentral:tRNA from 1 species
AGAAUAGUAGUUUAUUAAAACAAGUAAGUUGCAAUUAUUAAAUGGAAUUCUCCCUAUUUUA